rnacentral:rRNA from 1 species
UACGAAGGGGCUAGCGUUGCUCGGAAUCAGCUAGGGCGUAAAGGGUGCGUAGGCGGGUCUUUAAGGUCAGGGGUGAAAUCCUGGUAGCUCAACUCCAGAACUCGCCUUUGAUAACUGAGAUCUUGAGUUCGGGAGAGGUGAGUGGAACUGCGAGUGUAGAGGUGAAAUUCGGUAGAUAUUCGCAAGAACACCAGUGGCGAAGGGCGGCUCACUGGCCCGAGUACUGACGCUGACUGCACGAAAGCGUGGGAGCAAACAGG